GCGGUUGCCAUGGAGAGGUAGUGGGGGAGGACUCCCUGGACCACAGCCUGUGCCAGCAGUUCCCUCCCAAGCUGCUCCGGCUUGUGACGUUGGGGCAGGGCGCUCAGGUGUGCCAGGCGGCACAGAUAACGGGGCUGGCUGACCUGUCAUGGCUGGUAACGUGACUGUGCACAGACCCCUGGGGCUGACAGACAUGUUUGUGGAAGUGCCUGUGGAUUCUCUGUGUGCAGUGCAAGGAUUGUAAUGUUGUGUGUCUUCCCACCCUGCCUGAUUGCUCACCCUCCAGCUUGGAUGAAAAGAGUUUAAACAUCUGAAAGCAAAUGUACGCCCUUGUUAAAAUAAGAAACUGACUAACUUCAGUCGGCAUGUUUGCAUAUAGAUAGAUGACAUCACAGCAAGUCACAUAAAUGCUGAUGGGACGCACACACUCAGAAAAAUCUAACAUGAUAAAAUUGAAGAAGCACAAAAAGAACUUAAUGGGGCAGAAGUGUCAAAAAAAGGUAAAUUAAAAAUCAACCCCAAUAUAUACUUUAUUCUUGCAGGAAUUCCUAUAUAAAUGCCUUAUAAUUGCAGCUAUACUAAAUCAAUCAAUGUAAGCAUAUCACAAAAUUAAAAAUCACCUUAAAUUGAUUGAUACUUAAAAGUACAUGUACUUUACCUUAUGAAAUGUUUUAACUGCAUAGCUAUAACUGUUUCCCACAUAUUAAUAUUUUUUUUUGGUGAGAGUAUGAAAGAUUGUUGCAUCCCUUCUGAAAGCCCUGUUUGUGAAACUGUCCUGCAGCAGUAAAGGUAGCCCCAGGAUGGAGCCUGGGGGUCAUGUUCACAUGUGUGUGUGCUCAUAUGUGUUCGCGUGAUACAGUAUUUUUUUGAAAUGACAAAAACCUAAGACAACUAAAAAUAACCCCUGUGCUAGUCAGUGCAGGAAUAAUUGAAUAAAUUGUAGGACAUUCAUAUUUGGAGAUGUUAUGUAGCUUUUUAAAAUGUUAAUUAUUUCUGUGGACUGUGAUGAUUUGUUGCUAAAUGGGAAAAUGAAAUUGCAAUGUAGCAUGUAAAAUACACCACUUUUUUCAAUCAAAAGCAUAUGCAUGUGCACACUGCUUAUGUAGGAUUGGACAAAGUUUGAACAGACUUAAUACACAAAUAAGUUUGCAUUGGUGAGAGAAGGCGCAAAGGAAGAUGAUUAACUUUCAUUUAUCUGGAUUUGUAUUCUUUCACUAGUUAUAAUGCAUAAAUGUAUAAAAACGUCUAAACCAAAAAUCGGUUUUCAUCAUGGAAAGCAUACAUACUAUUUUCCCAGGUAGUACGAAAAAAUGCAGCAGAUGAGGAACAGCUCGUGGGAGGGAAGGAAGACGUAAGGUGGAAAGAAUGCCAGCGGUCUCUGUCAAUGGGGAGAAUUGAUUACAAGGCUAGAGGCUUCUCUUUUUGGCUUUGAGGUUUCAUGACUUAUUAUUUCUUUGUCCUUGCUGUGUCUUCUAAUCACAGUGGGAUAUUUUGGCAGAGUAAUUUAACCACAUAAGAUUCCAGUGAAGAGCCUCCCCCCGACGCCCCUCUCCAAAUCUAGUUAGGUUGCUCGCGAGGUAUCUUUAGUGGAAAUAAUUGCUGGUUGUCCAGGUUCUCCAUCCCUUGGGCCAGCCUGUGAGGCCUCCAGAGUCAUUCAGGGCUGAGCUGAGCAGUUAGGCUGUGAUGUGCUGACACUUUAAAGUGUCUUCUGGAGUUCCCGUCGUGGCUCAGUGGAAACGAAAUCUGACUAGCAUGCAUGAGGACUCAGGUUCGAUCCCUGGCCUCACUCAGUGGGUUAAGGAUCAGGCAUUGCCAUGAGCUGUGGUGUAGGUUGCAGAAGCGACUUGGAUCUGGCGUUGCUGUGGCUGUGGUGUAGGCCGGCAGCUACAGCUCUGAUUCGACCCCUAGCCUGGGAACCUCCAUAUGCUGUGG
rnacentral:lncRNA from 1 species